rnacentral:rRNA from 1 species
UACGUAGGGUGCAAGCGUUGUCCGGAAUUAUUGGGCGUAAAGAGCUCGUAGGCGGUUUGUCGCGUCUGCUGUGAAAAUCCAGGGCUUAACCCUGGACCUGCAUCGGGUACGGGCAGACUAGAGUGCGGUAGGGGAGAUCGGAAUUCCUGGUGUAGCGGUGAAAUGCGCAGAUAUCAGGAGGAACACCGGUGGCGAAGGCGGAUCUCUGGGACGGUACUGACGCUGAGACGCGAAAGCGUGGGGAGCGAACAGG